UACGAAGGGGGCUAGCGUUGCUCGGAAUCACUGGGCGUAAAGCGCACGUAGGCGGCUUACUAAGUCAGGGGUGAAAUCCUGGAGCUCAACUCCAGAACUGCCUUUGAUACUGGUGAGCUUGAGUCCGGAAGAGGUGAGUGGAACUGCGAGUGUAGAGGUGAAAUUCGUGGAUAUUCGCAAGAACACCAGUGGCGAAGGCGGCUCACUGGCCCGAUACUGACGCUGAGGCACGAAAGCGUGGGGAGCAAACAGG
rnacentral:rRNA from 1 species